UUCCUGUACCACCUAUAAUCGUUUUAAUCGAUGGGGGGACGCAGUAGGAUAGGCGAAGCGUGCGAUUGGAUUGCACGUCUAAGCAGUAAGGCUGAGUAUUAGGCAAAUCCGGUACUCGUUAAGGCUGAGCUGUGAUGGGGAGAAGACAUUGUGUCUUCGAGUCGUUGAUUUCACACUGCCGAGAAAAGCCUCUAGAUAGAAAAUAGGUGCCCGUACCGCAAACCGACACAGGUAGUCAAGAUGAGAAUUCUAAGGUGAGCGAGCGAACUCUCGUUAAGGAACUCGGCAAAAUGACCCCGUAACUUCGGGAGAAGGGGUGCUCUUUAGGGUUAACGCCCAGAAGAGCCGCAGUGAAUAGGCCCAAGCGACUGUUUAUCAAAAACACAGGUCUCUGCUAAACCGUAAGGUGAUGUAUAGGGGCUGACGCCUGCCCGGUGCUGGAAGGUUAAGAGGAGUGGUUAGCUUCUGCGAAGCUACGAAUCGAAGCCCCAGUAAACGGCGGCCGUAACUAUAACGGUCCUAAGGUAGCGAAAUUCCUUGUCGGGUAAGUUCCGACCCGCACGAAAGGCGUAACGAUUUGGGCACUGUCUCAACGAGAGACUCGGUGAAAUCAUAGUACCUGUGAAGAUGCAGGUUACCCGCGACAGGACGGAAAGACCCCGUGGAGCUUUACUGUAGCCUGAUAUUGAAAUUCGGCACAGCUUGUACAGGAUAGGUAGGAGCCUUUGAAACGUGAGCGCUAGCUUACGUGGAGGCGCUGGUGGGAUACUACCCUAGCUGUGUUGGCUUUCUAACCCGCACCACUUAUCGUGGUGGGAGACAGUGUCAGGCGGGCAGUUUGACUGGGGCGGUCGCCUCCUAAAAGGUAACGGAGGCGCUCAAAGGUUCCCUCAGAAUGGUUGGAAAUCAUUCAUAGAGUGUAAAGGCAUAAGGGAGCUUGACUGCGAGACCUACAAGUCGAGCAGGGUCGAAAGACGGACUUAGUGAUCCGGUGGUUCCGCAUGGAAGGGCCAUCGCUCAACGGAUAAAAGCUACCCCGGGGAUAACAGGCUUAUCUCCCCCAAGAGUUCACAUCGACGGGGAGGUUUGGCACCUCGAUGUCGGCUCAUCGCAUCCUGGGGCUGUAGUCGGUCCCAAGGGUUGGGCUGUUCGCCCAUUAAAGCGGUACGCGAGCUGGGUUCAGAACGUCGUGAGACAGUUCGGUCCCUAUCCGUCGUGGGCGUAGGAAAUUUGAGAGGAGCUGUCCUUAGUACGAGAGGACCGGGAUGGACAUACCUCUGGUGUACCAGUUGUCGUGCCAACGGCAUA
rnacentral:rRNA from 1 species